rnacentral:rRNA from 1 species
GGGUUUCACCAGAAGCAGGUAGUCUAACCGCAAGGAGGGCGCUUGCCACGGUGAGAUUCAUGACUGGGGUGAAGUCGUAACAAGGUAGCCGUAGGUGAACCUGCAGAAGGAUCA